AUGGAGGCUGCGGUGGCAAGCGCCCUGACCAAGGAGGUGGUGCUGAAGCUGGUCACGCUGCUGAGCGAGAGGCACAAGCUGUCCAAGGGCCUCAAGGACGACCUCCGCUUCAUCCACACCGAGCUCCACAUGAUCCUGUGCGACAUGGACGAGCACCUUGGAGAUCCGAGCCACAGCUCACGGCGGCCGCAGGUGGUGUCCAUGGAGGAGAUGCGCGAUCUGGCGCACGACAUCGAGGAUUGCAUCGACCGGUUCCUCCCCUGCGCCGCCUGCGAGGGGGAAGCAGCAGCAGCCUCCGUCCUCCGCCGCAUCAAGAAGGCGGUCACCGGCAACAGAUCCCGGUUCGCGGCGGAGAUCCGGAAGCUCAGGCAGAGGGUCAAGGACGCCCACGAGCGAAGGGUCAACUAUGGCGUCAACGGCGUGAGAUCUGCCGCCGGAGCCGGAGCAGCAGCUCCCCCUGCGGCCACAGACGCGGCCGAGGCCGAUCCUGUGGGCAUCGACAAGCCCAGGCAGGAGCUGGUGGAGCUGCUGCUGGGCAGCGAGCCGGGGCCUCCCAGCGUGAUAUCCAUCGUGGGGUUCGGCGGCUCGGGCAAGACGACGCUCGCCAGGGCGGUGUACUGCUGCCCCGGUGUCGUCCAGAGAUUCCCUGCCCGUGCCUGGGCCGCGGGGUCCGAGCACACGGACGCCGGCGGGCUCCUGACGGCCAUACUCCGGCAGCUCCACCACACCGCCCAUGUGCCACAGGACCAAGAUUCCAUCAAUAAUUUCCUGGGGACUACAGAGUGCUUAAUUGUAAUUGAUGACAUCAACAAGCAACACUGGGAUGCCGUAAGAGCUACCUUACAUGGGGAAACAAAAAGCAGAAUCAUUGUAACCACGGCUCUGCACUCAGUAGCUAAUGCUUGCAGCUCAGGGAUUGGUUAUGUUUACAAGAUGAGAGUUCUUGAUGCAGAACUCUCCAGGGUUUUGCUUAGGAAGAAGGUAUUCUUUGGAGGAUGUUCACCUGAACUGGAGCGAGGUUCGACAGCAAUUGUGGACAAGUGCGACGGCCUCCCACUUGCUCUUGUUAGCGUGGCCAGAUUUCUGCUAGGCAAGAAUGAGCUCACAGGAAGACACUGUGCGGAGGUUUGCCGCAACCUCGGGCUUCAUAUGGAGAAGGAUGCAGACUUCACAAAACUGCAACAGGUUCUUGUAAAUAACUACAGAAGCCUGUCUGACUAUCCUCUCAAGACCUCCCUGCUAUACACAAGUGUAUUUCCAAACGGUCAUCCAAUCAGGAAGAAUACAUUAAUCAGGCGAUGGUUAGCAGAAGGGUAUGUGCAGUGUAGGUACAAGCGCAGUGACCUGGAGGUAGCAGACGUAAACUUCCAGAAGCUUAUCGACCGGAAUAUCAUUCGGCCGAUCAAUGGUAGCAACAACACAAAAGUGAAGACGUGCAAAACUCAUGGUAUUAUGCACGAGUUCAUGCUGCACAAGUCUAUGUCUGAUAACUUCAUCGCGUCUCUUCAUGAUCAAAAUCGAAGCAAAUUCCGUCACCUCUUCAUCCAGAACCCUGCAAGUGGCAGCACAUUGGGCUUGAACCACCAGCAUACAAGUCCAGCAAGCGACAACGUAUCUGAUAGCAGUGAAAAAUUCCGUGCCCGGUCUCUGACAAUCUUCGGGAAUAUGGGAGAAGCUGCUGCUGAGUUUUGCAGGUGUGAGCUGCUGCGUGUGUUGGAUCUGGAAGAAUGUGACGAUUUGGAGGACGGGCAUCUCAAGGACAUACAUAAGUUGUGGCAUCUGAAAUAUCUGAGCCUUGGGGGUACUAUCAGCAACCUUCCAAGGAAUAUUCAGAAGUUACACUGUUUGGAGACACUGGACCUUAGGAAGACAAAGAUAGAGAUAUUGCCUGUGGAAGUCAUUGGGUUGCCUCACCUAGCUCACCUUUUUGGAAAGUUUAAGCUUGGGAAGGACUUGAAACUGGGUGAACUAGAGAAGUUCUUACCCAAGAAAAGCAAGUUGCAGACCCUAGCAGGAUUUGUUGCAGACGAGAAUCCUGGAUUUCUACAACUCAUGUCUCAUAUGAAAGAAUUGAAAAAGGUUAAGAUAUGGUGUUGUGGGUCCACUGAUGCAAACAAUGAGAGCAUGCCUCACAUUUCGGAGGCAGUUCAGAAGUUUGCUCAGGAUGGUAUGGACACGGCAGACGUCCGUUCUCUGUCACUUGAUUUUGGAAACUCCUUGGGGGACUUCUUCGGUUCUAUACAAGAAUAUUGCUUCCUCAGCUCGCUGAAACUGCGUGGCAGGCUGACUCGACUGCCUCAGUUUGUUACAUCCCUGUGUGGCCUUACAGAGCUAUGCCUUUCAUCAACUAAUCUGAUGGGGAAUGAUCUAUCAAACCUGUGUAUGAUGCCCUGCUUGCUUUAUCUCAGACUGGUUGAAGCUGACCUUAGUGGCUUCAUCAUAAAAGAUAGGGGUUUCCCAAGCCUGUUAAGCUUAUGCCUUAUUGUGCAAAUACCCGUCCUGCCUGCAAUUGGAGUAGGAGCUUUGCCGUGUGUCGUCUCACUUCAGCUGCUCUGUAAAGAUCUUGUUGAUCUUUCAGGCAUCAAGAUCGAACAGCAUCACUGUCUGCAGGAAGUUGCUCUGGAUUCUAUGAUCAGUACCAAAACAGUAGAAAUGUGGGAAACUGCAGUGAAGAAGCAUCCCAAGAGACCAAAAGUUCUGUUUCUCAAAAGGAUUGAUCCAAGCGAAACCAAGUCCACUGUGAAAUAUGUGGCGACAGACGGACCAAUACGUGAGAAGGCAUCCUCCAUUGAGUUCAAUCAAGUUCAGUUAACGCAGAAUAUGUUGCAGAACGAAUGCAUAAUCAGUUUAGAUCAAUCCAGUUCAAUGAGCAAACUCAAUUCAGCUAUGAAGAAAAUAAUAGUUUCAGAACCCCCUCCGGCUGCACCCGAGCUGUCCAGUGCUGGGAACAGUGUGAUGCCUCCUUCUGCAAGCAUAUGCUAA
rnacentral:rRNA from 1 species